rnacentral:SRP_RNA from 1 species
CCGUGCUAGGCGGGGAAUUAGCGGUGCCCUGUCGCUCGCAAUCCGCUCUAGCGAGGCCGAAUCCCCUCUCGAGGGGGGAGGCCUCCGGGAAGUGCGCACCGUGACGGUGCUGAUGGCCCGGGUCCCGCGCGACGUCGGCCCGUGAACCAGGUCAGGUCCGGAAGGAAGCAGCCUUAAGCGGUCUCCGGCGGGCGCAGCGGGAGCUCCCGGUGCCGGAGCCGUCCUCCGGUGCAGCGCCUGGAGACCGACCUUCGAAGGAGGGUGCACGG